UCAAAUGAGGAAAGGCUUACGGUGGAUACCUAAGGACCUAGAGACGAGGAAGGGCGUAGUAAUCGACGAAAUGCUUCGGGGAGUUGAAAAUAAGCAUAGAUUUGGAGAUUCCCGAAUAGAGAAACCUUUCAAACUACUGUUGAAGCCAUGCAUAGGUAAGAGACAACGUGGCUAACUGAAACAUCUUAGUACCUAGAGGAAAAGAAAGCAAAAGCGAUUCCAGUUGUAGUGGCGAGCAAAACGGGAGCAGCCUAAAUCAUGAAAAUGAAGUUGUGAGAGAGCAAUACAAGUGUCAUGCUGCUAGGCGAAGCAGCAGAAAUGCUACAUCCUAGAUGGCAAAAGUCUAGUAGCCAAAAGCAUCACUAGCUUACGCUCUGACCCGAGUUACAUGGGAGACGUGGAAUCUCGUGUGAAUUAGCAAGGACCACAUUACAAGGCUAAAUACUCUUGGGUGACCGAUAGCAAAGUAGUACCAUGAGGGAAGGGUGAAAAGCUCCCAAGCAAUGGGAGGAGCCAAGUCUCUGAUCGUGUGCCUGUUGAAGAAUGAGUCGACGACUCAUAGGUAGUAGCUUGGUUAAGGGAACCCAUUGGAGCCAUAGCAAAAGUAAGUCUUCAUAGGGAAAUUGUCACUACUUAUGGACCCAAACCUAGGUGAUCUAUUCAUAACCAAGAUGAAGCUCGAGUGAAACUAAAUGGAGUUCCAAACCAACUGAUGUUGAAGAAUCAGCAUAUGAGUUGUGGUUAGGGCUAAAAUGCCACUCAAACCCAGAGCUAGCCAUUUCUCCCCGAAAUGCAUUGAGAUGCAACAGUUGACUCAACAUCUUGGUAUAAAGCACUGUUUCGAUGCAGACUAUGAGAGCGGUACCAAAUUGAGGCAAACUUUGAAUACUAGAUAUGACCUCAAAAUAACUGGGGUUAAGGUCGGCCAGUGAGACGAUGGGGGAUAAGCUUCAUCAUCGAGAGGGAAACAGACUAGAUAACCAGCUAAGGUUCCUAAAUGAUCGCUCAGUGAUAAAAGAGAUAGGGGUGUAGAGAUAGCUAGGAGGUUUGCCUAAAAGCAGCCACACUUGAAAAAGUGUGUAAUAGCUCACUGAUCUAGCACUCUUACGUCGAAGAUGAAUGGGACUAAGCGAUUUGUUGAAGCUUUGGGAUGUAAAUAUACAUCGGUAGGGGAGUGUUCCACCUUAGAAGGAAGCCCCCACGUGAGCAGUGGUGGACGAAGCGGAAGCAAGAAUGUCGGCUUGAGUAAUGCAAACAUUGAUGAGAAUCCAAUGCCCCAAAAAUCUAAGGGUUCCUUCGCAAGGUUCGUCCACGGAGGGUGAGUUAGGGCCUAAGAUCAGGAUGAAAGGCAUAGUCGAUGGACAACAAGUGAAUAUUCCUAUACUAUCCCUUGUUGGUCCCGAUGGAUGGAAGAUGCUAGGUUAGCCAAAAGCUGGUUAUCGAUUCGAGAACGUAAGGUGCCCCUGUUAUUUCAGGGUAAGAAGGGGUGGAGAAAAUGCCUCGAGCCAAUGUUUGAGCACCAGGGGCUACAGUGCUGAAGUAACCCAUGCCAUACUACUAGGAAAAGCUCGAACGACCUUUAAACAAAAGGGUACCUAUACCCGAAAUCGACACAGGUGGGUAGGAAGAGAAUACCUAGGGGUGCGAGAUAACUCUCUUUAAGGAACUUGCCAAAAUAUCCUUGUAACUUCUAGAGAAGGGGUGCCUCCUUACAAAGGGGUUUGCAGUGACCAGGCCCGGGUGACUGUUUACGAAAAACACAUGUCUUCGCAAAGUCAUAAGACCAUGUAUGGGGCUGGCGCCUGCCCACUGCCGAAAGGUCAAAGAAGUUGGUGACCUGAUAAUAGAGGAGUCGACGACCAAAGCCCUGGUGAAUUGCGACUGUAACUAUAACAGUCCUAAGGUAGCAAAAUUCCUUAUCGGGUAAGUUUCGACUCGCACGAAAGGCGUAACGAUCUGAGUACUACCUCGAAAAGAGGCUUAGUGAAACAGACAUGUCUGUGAAGAUACGGACUAUCGGCAUCUGGAUAGAAAGACCCUAUGAAGCUUCACUAUUCCCUGAGAUUGGGUUUAGGCCUUUCCUGCGCAGCUUAGGUGGAAGGCGAAGAAGGCCUCCUUCCGGGGGGGGCCCAAGCCAUCAGUGAGAUACCACUCUGGAAGAGCUAGAAUUCUAACCUUGUGUCAGGACCUACGGGCCAAGGGACAGUCUCAGGUGGACAGUUUCUGGAGUUUCGUUCAUUGGCAUGUAUCAAAUCAUAUUUCACUAAAAUUUCAUAUGAGUUUUGUUCAUUGGCGCGUUUCCAAUCAAAUUUGAAAAAAAAAAUUCCCUUCAUUUUAUUUAAUUAAAGCGAUUCCAAUAAAAUUCGACUAAAAUUUCACCAAAGUUUCUUCAUUAGCAUGUAUCAAAUCAAAUUUGACCAAAAUUUCAAAUGGGUUUCUUUGGUCAGUGCUUUCCAAUCAAAUUUGACUAAAAUUUCAUGCUGAUUUUUUUCUUGGCCUAUUUCGAAUGAAUUUGACUAAAAUUUUACAUUAGUUUUGUUUAUUGAUGCGAUUGCAAUAAAAUUUGACUAAAAUUUCACCAGGGUUUCUUUUAUUGGCAUGUAUCAAAUCAAAUUUGACUAAAAUUUCAUUAGUGUUUUGUUAGUUGGUGCGUUUCCAAUAAAAUUUGACUAAAAUUUCACAUGAGUUUGGUUCUUUGACGCAUUUCGAAUUAAAUUUGACUGAAAUUUCUGAUGGGUUAUUACGUUGGUAUGUUUCUAAUCAAGUUUGACUGGAAUUUCACAUGAGUUU
rnacentral:rRNA from 1 species